rnacentral:sRNA from 1 species
UUACUCUCCAGUGAUGUUCUGUCAUAAGUUGGCAACGCGAUGUAAAUAUUCCCCCUCCUUUACUUACAUCGCGCUUUUUUU